rnacentral:rRNA from 1 species
CCCUUAGAUGUUCUGGGCCGCACGCGCGCUACACUGAUGCAUUCAACGAGUCUAAAACCUGGUCUGAGAGGGCUGGGUAAUCUUUUGGAAGUGCAUCGUGAUUGGGAUAGAUGAUUGCAAUUCUUCAUCUUCAACGAGGAAUGCCUAGUAAACGCAAGUCAUCAGCUUGCAUUGAUUACGUCCCUGCCCUUUGUACACACCGCCCGUCGCUCCUACCGAUUGAACGAUCCGAUGAAAACUGUGGAUUGAGAGUCUGAGUGGGUUCGCCUACCUCAACUUUCGAGAAGCGGUUUAAAUCUUAUCGUUUAGAGGAAGGAGAAGUCGUAACA